rnacentral:rRNA from 1 species
AUUGAACGCUGGCGGCAGGCCUAACACAUGCAAGUCGAACGAGUGGCGGACGGGUGAGUAAUGUCUGGGAAACUGCCCGAUGGAGGGGGAUAACUACUGGAAACGGUAGCUAAUACCGCAUACCAUCGGAUGUGCCCAGAUGGGAUUAGCUAGUAGGUGGGGUAACGGCUCACUUAGGCGACGAUCCCUAGCUGGGCUGAGAGGAUGACCAGCAACACUGGAACUGAGACACGGUCCAGAUGCCUACGGGAGGCAGCAGUGGGGAAUAUUGCACAAUGGGCGCAAGCCUGAUGCAGCCAUGCCGCGUGUAUGAAGAAGGCCUUCGGGUUGUAAAGUACUUUCAGCGAGGAGGCGUUACUCGCAGAAGAAGCACCGGCUAACUCCGUGCCAGCAGCCGCGGUAAUAC